UACGUAGGGCGCGAGCGUUGUCCGGAAUUACUGGGCGUAAAGCGUGCGCAGGCGGUUUUGUAAGUCUGUCGUGAAAUCCCCGGGCUCAACCUGGGAAUUGCGAUGGAGACUGCAAGGCUAGAAUCUGGCAGAGGGGGGUAGAAUUCCACGUGUAGCAGUGAAAUGCGUAGAGAUGUGGAGGAACACCGAUGGCGAAGGCAGCCCCCUGGGUCAAGAUUGACGCUCAUGCACGAAAGCGUGGGGAGCAAACAGG
rnacentral:rRNA from 1 species